rnacentral:rRNA from 1 species
GACGAACGCUGGCGGCGUGCCUAAUACAUGCAAGUCGAACGCAGUUGCGUACGGGUGAGUAACCCGUCGGUGACCUGCCCUGCACUUCGGGAUAAGCCUGGGAAACUCGGAUUACUACCGGAUAGUGUGGGCUGGGCCCGAGGCCUAUCAGCUUGUGGGGGGGGUAAUGGGCUACCAUGGCAGCGACGGGUCGCCGGCCUGAGAGGGUGGACGGGAACCUUGGGCCUGAGACACGGCCCAGACUCCGACGGGGGGCAGCAGGGGGGAAUAUGGAACAAGGUGCGGAAGCCUGAUGGAGAGACCCCGCGUGGGGGAUGACGGCCUUCGGGUUGUAAAGGCCUUUCGCCAUCGACGCGGUAGAUGGAGAAGAAGCACCGGCUAACUACGUGCCAGCAGCCGCGGUAAUAC